UUUUUAUUUGUUUAAAUUUAUAUUUUAGUCAUUAAUAUUUUAAUUGUUUCGAUUCGAUCACUAACAUUAUUGAUUUAUAAUAAUUUAAUUAUUUUAUUUUAUUUUAUUUUAUUUUAAUUAUUUUAAGUUACCUAUUAUAUGCUAACUUGGAUGCCAUGUUUUUUUUUUUUUUUUGAACUUUUUAUUGUUGGCCUCACCACUUAUGUAUUUAUUUAUUUUUCUUUUUACCCUCAAUCUCACGUCCUACUCCUUUAUUUCUUUAUUUUUUCCCCUUUUUUCCUUUUACUUUUCUCUUUUUUUUUCUCCCUUUCCAUCUUCAUUUCAUUAGCCUACCUACUAACCGCCACCGCAGCCGCCGCCGCCCCUACUCCAAUGGCCUUUCUGACCAGAAAAAAGGACUAAAAUGAAGCAUGUCGCCUUCUCUUUCUCUUCCUUAGCUUAGUUCUCCUGAAACGGCCCCCAAUUCCACAAAUUUAAAUCCGAAGUUCGAAUGACAAACCUCUCAAAUCUCCUAAAUCUGUUCUCCAAUCGACCCAAUAGGGAAGUAUGUUCAUCUCUCCAUGCAACCCCUCAUUCCACCGUUUAGAUUUCGAAUACAUAACCUCUAAACUCGUUAACCGAGCUUGGCCGGAUCUGCGGCUUUUUCUUUUCCUUCUCUUUUUGGUUUUGAUAUUUAAUUCUCUUACUGCAUGGUUUCUUGGUGAUUUUCUAUUUGGGAUUUGGUAGAGAGGCUCGGCAGUGUCGACGAUGACGGAGGACUAGGGAUGAGAGAGGGAUGGUGAGUGGGGACUUUGGGUGAGGUAAAGGUGAGGGUUAGGUUCAAUUUGGGCAGGUGAGUUGUAGAAGUGUGGAAGCUAAGAGAGAAGAGAUGGUGAAGGUGCGAUGGUUCAGUGGUGAUGGGGGAGGCGGUGGCCAAUGGUGAGCUUGAUGGUGGUUGUAGGUUCUGGGUAUAGGGCUGAGAGUUGAGGGGGUGCUAGGGAGGUUGAGGAGGGUGAAGAGAGAGAGAGAAGAGCCAUUUGAUGGUGGGGCUUAGGUCGGUGCCGAUGACAACAUCGGAGUGGGCGAUGACGACAGCUAUAUGUAGAAGUUAGGGUUUUGCCAAGGGAGAUGAGAAGGAAGGAAAAGAACAAAAAAGAAAAGAAAAGAAAGGGAAAUGUUGAAAUAAAGAAAAAAAGGCUGUUUUUUUUUUCUUUAAGUAGGGUUGAAAUUAUGUGGUGCUGACAUGGCUUUUAAGUUGGCGUUUAACUGCUGACACAUUGUCACAUGUGAUUUUCUUUAGGCCUACUAAAUUGUUAAUUUAGAAAUGAUUAACCUUAGUGAUUGAAUCGUAACAAUUAAAACAUUAAUGAUCAAAAUAUAAAUAUAAAUAAAUAUAAUGGACUAUUUUUAUAAUUUAGCCAUAAAGUAAUUAAUCCAAGCUCAUAUAUUGAUGGUGCGGUUAGUAGUUCAGGUAGUCUAAAUCAGGAUUAGUAUGGGGUUUUGGAGGAAUAUUGGCUGUUAUGUCCUAGAUGUUGGUGUUUUAGAGGGAUGGUAAGCUGCUUGGAAUCUUGAACCACGUUUGUUUGGUUGAAUGAAUGGAAUUAUGUUAUAAUGGAAUAAAAAGAAAUAAAACUGUAAUAGAAUAGAGAUAUAAUUAAUAAUUUAAUUGUUUGAUUUAACAUAAUUGAAUAAAGCUGUAAUAGUAUUCUUGUAUUUGGUUAGAUGAAAUAAAUGUUAUAAUAGCAUGAGGAAAAAAAUUUAAAUGACCAAAAUAUCUUUAGCAGAAUUUUUUUAAAUAGAUGGUUAUUGUUAUUGUUAUUAAAAUAUAUAUUAUUUUAUUAAAUUAUAAUAAUCUUAUUAAAAUUUAAUAAUAUUCUUAAUAUAAUUAUUAUUAAAAUAUGAAUUAAUAAAAUUCAUACAAAUAAUUUAAUCAUAUUUUAACAUAAAUAUUAAUACAAUUUAAUAAAAUAAUAUAUAAUUUAAUAACAUUCUUAAUAUAAUUAUUAUUUUAGUUACAUGACUUUUUUUUCAAAUUUGGGUCAUUCUAUUUCUUGUCGUUGUUCACUUUUCCAUUGAAGUAAAUGUAAGGGUAAUGUCGGAAAAGGUCACAAAGAAAAACAAAAGUGUAAAAGGAUAAAAUUAUACAAUAUUCCAUUACUUUUUAUAUUCAAAUUUGACAAGGGUCAAUUCUUGAACUACUUUACUCCAUAGAUACAAGUUCAAACUUAUACACCUAUAAAUGGCAGAAACAUGAAUUUGUUGAUCACACUCCAUGACCGGCGUUAAGAUUGGUACAAAUUCAUUAGGGGAUGAUAAUGGUGUCGAUUUCCAACAUCUGUAAGAAAUGUUCAGUUGUUUCUUGGCUCACAUUAAGGCUCACUUGGACUAUUGAUGGAAUUGUUUUCAAAACAUAAUUUUUCCUGCCUAUUUCUCCCACUAUCGGUCUACAAAUCAAUUAAAAAAGAAACUAAUUAUAUAUAUGAAGAAUAUAAAUAUAUUAGGGACCAUAUAGAGUAGGACAAGAAUAUAUGAUAUAUAUUUGAACAUGAGGCAACUAUUUCAGGCAAUUAAAAUAAAACAAUAAAUUCAUCCAUAAUGCUAAUAAAGGAGGUAGAUCGAAACGUUAGUAGUACAUGAACUUUUUUAAGUGAAAUGGAGAUGAGGGCAAAUGAUUUGAGCUAAGAAAGAAAGAGAGCAGAGAACUGAUUUGAGCUAAGAUUUGACAAUUGUUGAUAGUAUAGGAAACAUUAAACAUGGUGUAAGCUUUAAACAUUAAACAUAAAUCUGUGGUAAUAAAAAGAUGCACAGAAAGAUAAUGUUAAUUGUUCGAUCGUUUUAGUCUUAGAUCCAACAAACAUCUAAAGAUCACAAAAGACUUGUUUAGUCUUAGAUGAGAUAAACAUACUUACGAUUACAGAACACAUACAUAAUAACUUAAUCUUUGCAGCAAACUGAGAAGCCCUGUGAAAGAAAGAAACAGAAAACUAGUAUGUUAUGAAAACUUGAAAAGUAACUAAAAACAACAAAUUUGGACUUCAUGCCAAAUUAAUUAUCACCUCUACUUUUGGACUAUCUGUGAGCAAACCAAACCAAUUCCUUUUAAAGAUUCAUGAUUUAAUAGUUCCACCAUGUGUUUAAACUUCAAUCAAACUUUGCAUCCUCAACACUAAAUUUCCUUCUUUGAAACCACCAGUGACCCUUUUGCUGCCAACAUAGUACAUACACUUAAAAGAACUAUAAUUGAAGCUACAAAUAAAUUCUCAGAUACCCCAAAUCUCUUUUAUGUUAGUUUAAUCCAUUUCAUACAUCCAAAAUAUUUCUUGGACAAUGGCGCCACUGAAAUCCAUUUCACUCUUACCAAAUUCUUCCACUAUUCCCUUAUAAUUCUAGAUUUGUCCACAUUUUUACAAACUAAUACAUUUCAAAUUCAUAUCAUUCUUGGUUUUGCUACUUUGACUAGGGUACAUGUAACACCCUUAACCCAUAUUCGUCACCGGAAUAGGGUUACGGAGUAUUACCAAAGUUUACAAAUUUAAAAAUAGUUUACACAUGUCAUUUACUGUUCAUAACCGAAAUCAAACAUAUUCAAUCAUAAUGUCCCUUGAAUGGGCCCUCGAGACCCAAUUUAUACGUUUGAAACAAGUCGAGACUAAAUCGAGAACUCGGGAAAUUUUUUACAAAAUUCAAAAAUUUAUCCAAGGUACAAGGGACACAUGCCCAUGUGGUUAGGCCGUAUGGCUCACACGGCUAAGUGACACGCCUGCGUUCCAGGCCAUGUGUGUAACAGCCUAAUUUUCAGUGGUGUCGGAAACAGUGAUUUGAGAUCACUAAAUCUGACUAGUGAGUCUUAAAAAUUAAUAAAUUAAUAAUUAUGGGUCAAGUGUGAAUUUAGAAGAAUUUUUGAAUUAGCGAAUUUUGUGAUUUAGUGGAUUUUUGCGAUUUAAAAAGAAUUUAAUAGGUAAAUUGGGUCUAAAACGAGGUUUCGAGACCUCGAAUUCAUAAGCAAGCCAUAAAUAUUUUUAAAAAUAUUUAUGGAGUGUCAUUGAGUUAGUAUAAAAGUUUCGUUAUAAAAUUAUAACGUUUGGAUAGUCAAUUAAUUAAAAAGGAGUAAAUUGAGAAUAGUGCAAAAUUUGUUAAAAUUGUGAUUAGAUAGCUUAAGUGACUAAUAAGGAGGGAUUUAAAAGGCAAUUAGGCCCAAAUUAUAUGGGCUGGACGGUUGGGCAAGAAAAAUCAGCAGAAAGUAAGGAGAAAUAAGGGCAAAAUUGGAAAUUUUACAAAUUAAAUAUAUAAAACAAAGAUAAAAGUGAAAAAUCUAGAGAUCUCUUCAUAAUUUAUCAGAAAAAACGCCAUAGGAGGUCUGAAACAAGCUGGUUUUUCAUAUUUUUACACCAUAUCGGGAAUCCGAAGAUAAACGCGGAAAAGAGAAAUUAUCGAACUAGUGUCUGAACUUUUACAACUUCUACAAAUCGGCCUAGGUAAGUUCAUAUGGCUGAAUUUUUAUGAUUAAUUGUUAAUGUGGAAAUGAUAUAUUGUAUAAAUUCGUAUAUUGUUACUGAAUUAUGAUUAUGGUAAAAAUGAGAAGAAGAUGAGAUUGUUAGUUCAAAUUAAGGGAUACGCAGGAUUGAGUACACAUGCUUGGCAACCAACGACGAAUUGACGGAUAAGUCCAUGGUGGAUCCAUGGCAAAGUGUGAAAAGUAGGUAUGGUGUUUCGGUGAAGAAAACCAUACUGAGUUGUGAAAAGUAGGUAUGGUGUUUCGGUGAAGAAAACCAUACUGAGUUAUGAAAAGUAGGUAUGGUGUUUCAAUGAAGAAAACCAUACUGAGUUGUGAAAAGUAGGUAUGGUAUUUCAGUGAAGAAAACCAUACUGAGUUAUAGCAAUGUGAAAUAUUCAAGCAAAUUGUGGCACCGGGCAAACGAUGUACCCAAUUCCGUAAGACGAUCCUUAAUUUGACAGGUAUUUGUAAGUGCAAUUGAAACUAAAUGUCGGAAUAGAAGUUGACAUCUGAUAUUGAGCUCGAUUGGAUAUAUUUAUUAUUUGAGAUUGGGGUUGGCAGGAAAUGCUGAAUUUUUAUUUGUUUGUUAAUGUUGUUAGUGAAAUUUUGGUAAUAUUUUAUUAUGAGCCUGUGAACUUACUAAGCUUUCUGUAAGCUUACUGGUGUGUGUUUACUGUUUCUCGUAGAUUGACGUAUAUAUAUUUCGGAGGAUCGGAUCUACAACAACGAUCAUACUAUCCAGAUUUACUCCGGUAGAUUUUGUUAAACAACUUUUUGGAUUUAUAUGGCAUGUAUAGGGAAUUGAAGUAAAAAGUAUUAGUAUGAAUGACUAAGUAUGCAAAAUAAAUUUGAAUGUUAUGGUUGUGUUAGAUAUCGAAAUAUAUACAUGUUUUUAGUUUGAAAUGGUUGAUUGGUUGAACUUCAUUAGUAUUUAAAUGAAGUAGUUGAAAUACUGGAAUUGGUUGUGAUUUAAAUUUGCAGGGAAGGUUAGAUAAUUAUAAAGGGGUUAUAUUGAAUUUUUUUUUAAAAAUUUGCAAUGGAACAGUUUUUGGAUAUAUGCAUUGAGGUAACUGUGAAAAAUCAUCAAAAAAUGGUGGAAAUUGAAUUAGAAGCUGAGUGAGAUACUAAAUUAAAUCUGAAUGAGUCUACUUUCACAUGAAAGAAAUAGAGUAAGAAAAAGAGUUGUAUAUUUUUAGAUAUUUGAAUUUUAGUGAGACAGGGUCAGAAUGGUUUUGAGGUCCCCUGUUCUGACUUUAGAAAUUCAUUAAAAAUUUCACAGAAGGAAUUAUGAGUUAUAAUUUAUAUUUAUAGAUUCCUUGAUGAGUCUAUUUUCAGGAGAAAUAAGUGGAAGCACCAUAUGAAGUCUGUACAAAGAGAUAAUUGAAUUUUAGUGACAAGAGGUCAAGAUGGUCAGUCACUGAAACAGGGGAGACUUUAACUAAUAAACUGUACUAAUUGGCUAAACCAAAAAUUCUAAAAAAUUUAUGGUGAAAAGAUAUAUGAGUCUAGUUUCAGGGAAAAUUUAUGGAUCUAAAUUUCGAGUUUCAUAACUCGAUUUAUAAUUAAAUAAGUGACUGAUGCGCAGGUGGAUAGAUUUGCUGUAAAUAGUGAAAUAAAUUUUCAAACUAAGUUUUUAUACUCCGAAUUAGUAAGAUAAGCUAAGUAAUGCCUCGUGCUCGACUCCGAAAACGGUCUCGAGUAAGAGGUGUUACAAUGUGGCAUUCGAUGUGAGGCACACGGUAGUGUCCUAACCCAUGUCCAUACCCGUGUAACUCUCUAACUUGAUUCAUACGGCCUACCACACGCCCGUAUACUAGGUCGUGUGGACAAUUUAAUUUUCAAAAUUUAGGUGUAGGGGUCACAUGGCCAAGAGGCCAUGUGAGACACACGCCCGUGUCUCUGCCUUUGUGAUCAAUUCUUAGCAUUCUGUUUCUCAAUUUUAAUGAUGCAAGGGACACACGACCAAACCACACGCCUGUGCACAUGGCCGUGUGUCACGCACGGCUAAGAUGCACGCCCGUGUCUCCACCCUUGUGGACGAAAAUAGGUCAUUUUCAAGGCCACUUUUCUCACCCAGUUUGUCUUCCACCUACAUUAACAUUUUAACACAUCCCCAAACCAAUUCAAAACAUUUAAAUCAAGCCAAAACCAAUUCUUAUGUAUGACAUAUCGUCACAUAUUUUCAAGUGACCAACUUACCAAAUUGGUCAAAUAUUCAUUUAAGCAUAUUUAUACCUAAUAUGUAUAUCAAUUCAAGCACACAACACAUAUCAACAUAAUAUGGUCUCAUACAGAUAUACAUCAAAACAUACCAUCACUAGCCAUUCCAAUGGCUAAUUACAACCAAAUAUUAACAUACCAUCAUUUGGUCAAUUUAACUUAUACAUGCCAUUAUACCAAGGAAAAUUUAACUAAUUAUACCAAAAUGAACUGAAGGAUAGUAUGAUCUUGCUCCGACCUGCUUCCAACCUUUACGAGCUUCUGAGUACUAUAAAACAGAGGAAAUAAAAUAGAGUAAGCAUAUUAUGCUUAGUAAGUUCGUAUAACGGAAAAUCAACUUACCAAUCAUUUAUAUUUAAGAUAAGCAUACAAAAUUUAUCCAAAGAAAUUUGGUAAUUUGCCUAAACACAUAUAAUCUCAAGAAACUUGUUAGUCAGAUAUUAUAUAUAAACGCCAAGAAUCAAGGACGAGCUCAUCAUGUAAUAACUUUCAUAAACAUAUGAUUUUCAUAUCAUAUUUCCAUAUAACAUGUGCAUUUCUAUAACAAAUCAUCUUAAAUUCAGUUUAACCAUGUCAGAACUUUACCCGUUAAAUUUAUUUGAAAUAUCGAUGGAUACACAUGUAGUACACUCGAAGUGUACAGAACUGUAAUCCGUCAAUUCAUAUUCAGGGGUACCCAUUAGUUCACAUAAUCAGAAAGCACUCUCUCGAGCCAUAUAACAGGAUGCUCAUGUGACCAUGUAACAAGAAACUUAUCUGGGCUAUACCAGGAAACUCAUAAGAGUUUAAAACAGGAAGCUCAUUGAGCUUAAUAGGUAACUCCGAAGAGUUACUAUCAGGGAGCUCCGGAUAGCCAUAUAAUAGGAAGUUCAAGCGAGCCAUAUCAGGAAGCUCACAAAGAGCCUAUAUUAGAAUUCUCAUAAAAAGCUACGAUAUGUCCGCAUUAUAUGCAAGAUCCAUACCGAUCAUAUAACAGGACGCUCACAAAGAGUUGCAGUAUGACUGCAACACAUGUAGGGUCAAUACCGAUCGGGAUGUUCGCAGGGACCAUGUAACGAGAAGCUCGAGAAGGCUUAUAAUAGGAUGCUCUUUCGAGCUAUGGUGUGUCCGCAACAUCUGCAGGACCACAACCAAUACGGGAAAUACUAUAUCCAUCGAAUUUCAUUUAUUCAAACGAGACUUAUUACUUAUCGGGCAUUAUCGGACAUGUGAUCAAUUUCAUACAUAAGAUAAGACAUUUAUACAAUUCACACAUAUACAACAUUCAAUUCAAACAUAUUAAUAUACAUGAUUUAGUUACACGAACUUACCUCGACACUUGUUUGUAUAAGAGAAUCUACUAAUCCGAUACUUUUUAUUUUCCUAGAUCUAACUCCUUAUUUGAUCUUUCCGGAUCUAUAUAAAUGGAUUUAACAUCAAUUUAACACAUUUCAUAUCCAAUUCAAUCCAAUUUACCAUUUUGCACCUAUUCUUUUGAUUAAUUCCAAUUUUGUCCCUAGACUCGGAAAAUGAAAUUCAUGCAAUUUAAUCCUUAUUCCAAGCCUAGCCAAAUUUUUCAUAUAACAUUUACAAUUCAUAAAAUUCAAAAAUUUUCCAUAAAUUUUACAUCUUUACAAUUUAGUCCCUAAAUCACAAUUUCAUCAAAAUUUCCUUUACAAAAGUUGUUUAUCUAUCAACAACCUUUCAUUUUCUACCAUAAAUUCCAAAAUUUCAGCAUACUCAUUCAUGGUAAAAUUUUAAUACUUUGAUAACUUAGCAAAUUAAUCCCCAAAAUAGAUAGAUUAGGUUAUUACAAUCUCGAAAAUAUAAAAAUUACUAAAAACGGGACAAGAAUUCAUACCUAAUUGAACGAAAACAACUUGCUUGAGCUCACUUUCUCUUAGCUAGGGUUUCCAUGUAUUUUUAAUUUGGGGAUGAAGAUGAAAUAGAUGAUAUUAGUUUAUUAUCAUCUUUAAUUAUUUCCAUUUCUAAUUUGGUCCUUUUCUUUUUCUAAUUUUCAAUGGAUGAAUCGUCAUAAAUAUCUACUAACUCCAUUUAAAGAUCUAAUUGCCAUAUAAGGACCUCAAAUUUUGAAUUCCAUAGCUAUUUAAUCCCACUAGCUACUAGAAUUCAACUUUUGCAUUUUAUGCAAUUUGGUCAUUUCUAUAAUUAAACAUGAAAUCGGUAAAAUUUUCUUAUCGAAAUUUUUAUACAUCAUUCCUAUCAUAAUGUAGAUCAUACAAUAAUAUUAAAAUAAAUUUUAUUUCUAACUCGGAUUUGUGGUCCCGAAACCACUGUUUCGAUUUCACUAAAAACGGGCUGUUACAGUACAAAUAUGAAUCUUGCACUCUCUUCAACCCUUAUUCCUUCUCAUCAACCAAGACAAAUUUCAAGUAAGAUCCAUAAUUAGCAUUGGACUAUCAAGCAAGAACCUUAAAUUCAAUGCAAAUAAAACGAUAAAUCGAAUAAAAAACCAACAAAUCCAAUACACCUUUAGAAGAAAGAACUAGAAAAUCUUAGAUAAUAGAUUUAAAGAAGCAAACAUAUUCCAUUAAUUUAAGCUAAAUACCAAAUUGGCGCAUUAACAAAAAAAUUUUCCCAUUUUUCCUAUAAGAAUCAUCAAAAUCUCUAAACAUUGGGAUCCUAAAAUUACACUUUUUUCCCUUAAUUUUUAAUCUGGGUAUUUGAAGCUACCUUUAUCUACCUUAAACAGACAAACAAACACUAGGCACGCAUACAAGAACAACACAUUGUCUCUCCAUGGCUUAUAAAAAUAAAAUUUCUUCCUUUUGUUUAAAAAUUAAAAUGAUUUGUUAUUGUUGGAGUUAGUGAUAUUUUACUAAAAUGUAUCAUCAAAUUCAUAGAAGGCCAAACAUCAAAAAGGAAAUAUUUAAGAAAAUGAAGAAAACAGAGAAAGAAAGUUUUACUAGAAGUGUUAGAGAAAACAGCGAGACGAAGAGGCCAAAUAUCGAAGAAGGGUAAAUUUUUUCAAUCUAAUACAAAUAGAAUGGAAUCUAAGCUCUUCCUAGAAAGCCAAAUUACUUGAACAAGGGUAAGUUUUACAUUUGCUUUUACAAUCGAAAAAGAAACAUUGAAAAACAAAUAUUAAUUGAAAAAAACGUAAAGAAACAUUGAAAAACAGAUAGUUCGAAUUAAAACUUACCAGAUCUUGGAUCUAGCGAGACGACUUGAAAAACGUUUCACUUCUUUUUUUUCAAUGGAUUAAGCUAUCAGAGUUAGGAGGAAAUGAGAUUAAAAAAGAAAAAAAUUAAAUUAAGUGAAGAAGAAAUGAAGUUUACAAUGGUGGAGGGAAGAAGAAUGAAAAAAAAUAUCAGUUGGAAUUGGGGAUUUCAAACUGUGAAAAAGAGAGGAGAAUGGUGAGGAUAAAAUUGAAACAUUUCUCUAAUUUGUUGUUCCACCAUUCCUUGAAUCAUCAUUUAGUGCGGGGAGUACGAAAUGGUUUGAUGCAUUUUCACACUAAAUAAUCCCGUAACGAAUAGCUGUAAUAACUAUUAUAGCCAACCAAACAAUGGUUUCGUGAUGGGUCCACUGAAUUGGGCUAUAAUGUAUCACCAUUACAGUCAAGCAAACAUGUUGUUGGUUUUAAAUCGGUGGAGUUUAAGAUGGAUAGUAUUGUUGUUAUUUAAUUAAUUCAAGCAAAGUCAAUUUAUUAGAAUUCUUGAAUUGCGUUAAGAGCAAUUAAAGAUCUAAUCCAACUUUCUUGGAUAAUACGGAUUACACAUGUCGUCCAUAGUUUGGCAAUAUUGACAUUUUCGAAGUCUCUGAUUAAGUAUAUCUAUAUGCGAUCAUCAUAAAAUCUUUCAACUGAUACAUGAUAAUUACUCCGAAAGAGGGUGGCCUCGCAUAAUUUAGUUAUACUUUUUAAUUUCUUUCUUUAAAAAAAUUAAAGUGAAAAAAAAUUUUAAUUCAAGUUCAUAAAGAUGAAUUGAUCCUUUUAAUUGGUCUCAUUCGAACGAUGAUUAAAUUAACUAAAGGUAAUUGGGGCCUAUAGUUGAAUAUGGAACUGAGAAAAGGCCCAAUAAGGAAGAAACCACAAAACCAAAGAACAGCACGCACAACACAAACAAACAUUAAGACAUCUCUCUCUGUUCUUCACCAGUUUCCGAAAACCAUCUUCUUCUUCUUUUUUUUAAUUUUCUCAUUUUGAUUUUGACUCUGCCUCACGUAUCCAAGUUUCUCUCUUUCAUUGUUCUGCCUCUUCAAUUCUUUCUUACAUGACCCGACCAAAAAGAAAAUAAUUAUAGAACCCAAAGGAUCAGAAAUUUAAAAAAAAAAAAGGUUUUAACUGGUUUAGUUUCUUCGUCUUUUCUUCGUGUAAGAUCUGGAAAGUAAGUUUCUUUAAUCCAAUUCUUGAAAUGGGUUUGUUCCUAUUUCUUCAAAGAUAACUCCUAUAUGAAAAGAAUUCACUCUUUUUUUUGGGUUUAUAGGGAUGAAGCGAAUAAGAGAUGAUAUAUAUUCUGGUUCUCAAUUUAAACGCCCAUUUACUUCUUCAAGGGCUGAAUCGUAAGUUGUCUUCUUCUUUUUUUUUUUUUGUUGGUUCCUCUGUUUUUAUAAUCUGUUUGCUUUCUCUUUUAGGGUUAUUUUGGUUGGUUUUGUUUUAAUAUGAUAAAGUUUGGCUUUUUUGAUAACUUGGUUUUUUUUUCCUAAUUUUUGUUGCUGGUUAGUUAUUGUUCUCAGCUUUAAUGGUCUUUUUUGGUGAGAUUUGACUGAGAAUUUUGUUGGAUUUGCAUGUGGGAUUGUAUUGCUUAUCACUUUGAAUUGAGUGAUUCGUUUAUGUUUUUGAUUUAUCAUGUUUUGGUUGAAUCAUAUUGGUGUCUAUGAUUCUUGGGACCAGUACAUAAAGUAAGACUUGCUACUUGGUUUUGUAAUAUUUGGUAAAUAACACUUUUUAACUAAAGGGAUCUUUAGCUCUUUCUAAGAUUAAUCAUCUGUUGAAAGUAAAUUACGUUUAGCCCAAUUUGUAGAGUUUUUUAUUCAUUAUUGUGGAGAUGGAUGUAGCUCUGAAUUUUCUUUCAUUAUUUCUACCUAUUAAGCUAUGGGCAAAACCAAAUGCCUGGUGGAGGUGGCGGUACAGGUGGAGGGGAAGGGGGAGGAGGAGGAGCUGGAGGAGGGGGAAGUAUGUCGCAGAAACUGACUACAAACGAUGCCUUAACAUAUUUAAAGGAAGUCAAGGAGAUGUUUCAGGAUCAAAAAGAGAAGUACGACAUGUUCCUUGAAGUCAUGAAGGAUUUCAAGGCUCAAAGGUAUCCCAUUUUCAAAAUGCCAAGUUUUCUUGACGGACAACGAAUUGUUGUUUAAACUACUAAAUGUCUAUACAUCUUUUGUCUUCUGCAGGACUGACACUGCUGGUGUCAUUGCCCGAGUGAAAGAGUUAUUCAAAGGGCAUAACAACUUGAUUUAUGGAUUUAAUACCUUUUUGCCAAAGGGAUAUGGAAUUACCCUUGACGAGGAUGAGGCUCCUCCAAAAAAGACUGUUGAAUUUGAUGAAGCAAUCAGUUUUGUAAACAAAAUAAAGGUGAAAUACUGAAAUUGUUGUGCUAUAAUCUUCGGCUUAUUGAUGCCUGUGUUUAGCCAUCUAAUUUAUCCAUUUUACUAUGCAGAAACGUUUCCAAAAUGAUGAGCAUGUUUAUAAAUCAUUUCUGGAUAUUUUGAAUAUGUACCGGAAGGAGCACAAGGACAUAAAUGAGGUCUAUACUGAGGUAAUGUCUUCUUCUUUUUAACUGUGUUCAUUUGCUCUUUGGCAUUUACUGAAUCUUAAUCUCUUGAUUUUGUUUUCUUCAGAAAAUAUCAUGUGUUCUUUGUUUCAUUGCUUUCAGGUUGCUUCUCUUUUUGAGGACCAUCCAGAUCUUCUUGAUGAGUUCACAAGAUUUUUGCCAGAUUCUCAAGCAGCACCUAUGACCCAACAAGUUCCAUAUGGUCGAAACUCAACUCAGCAUUAUAACGAGCGAAGCUCUGCUACACCCACCUUGCGGCAAAUACAAAUGGAUAAGGUAGCUGUUCUCUCUCUUAUUUUUAAUAUUUAUUUUCUUGCUACUUGCUAUGCAUUGAUAUGCUUGUGAUAUGAACAAUGAUUCUUUUAUUUUAUUUUUCCAGCAACGUCGGAGGGAUAGGAGUAUUACUUCCAAUGCUGAUAGGGAUCUCAGUGUUGACCGUCCUGAACUGGACGAUGACAAAGCUGUUAUAAAAGUGCAAAAGGAGCAGAGAAAGCGCGUGGAAAAGGACAGUAGGGAUCAGAGAAUUCGUGAUCACGAUGAUCCUGAGCAUGACAACAAUAGGGAUUUUAACUUGCAACGUUUUCCUGACAAAAAGAGAUCCGGAAGGAAGGUUGAAGGAUUUGCUUCUUAUGAUGACAGGGAUACUUUCAAAAGUAAGUCUCUCAACUUUUUAUAACUAUUAUAUGUGUAUAAUAUACAAAGUAUCACCUUUGUUUUACUUGCUUUUUGAACGUAUCAUAAUUAUACAGUUUAGGGUGUUUAGGGUGACAAUUUUGCUGUUCUUUUGCAAUGCUUUGCUAAUAAAGUAGCCUUGCUUGUGUAGUGGGAUCCAGGUUAAUGCACAUUUUCUUGUUAUUCUUAUAUCAACCUUUUAAAGGUUUUUCUAUUCAAAUCUCAGGCAUGUGCAACCAAGGGUUUGUAUUCUGCGAGAAAGUUAAGGAGAGGCUAUGCAACUCAGAUGACUACCAGGCGUUCUUAAAGUGCCUUAAUAUUUAUAGCAACGGAAUAAUCAAAAGAAAUGAUUUGCAAAAUUUGGUAUGUUUUACACCAUCUCUAACAGUUAUCUUUGAUUUUAGAAUCAUUCAAUCACUUCUCUUAUAUGUUAUAUUGGUCCCUAGGUGACUGAUUUACUUGGCAAGUAUCCAGAUCUUAUGAAUGAAUUCAAUCAGUUCUUGGAGCGUUGCGAGAAUACGGGUAACAACUUAAGCAUCAUUUUAAGUUGUUUGUUUCGAUUAUUAAUUCUUAUGGCUGUUUUUAAACCAAAUAUCUCCUGCAGAUGGGCUUCUUGCUGGUGUUAUUAAUAAAAGUACGCAACUGAUAGCCUCCUUUUCUUUCUGAUUUUGUUACACAUUUUCUUAUUUAUCUUUGCCACUUUCUCAUUUAUCGAGACCGUUGUAUCGGAAAAAAAAUCCCAAAAAUUGGAUCAAAAAACUGAUACCAUGAUGAAAUUAGAGAUGAAUACUCUAAUGUAUUGAGGAAAAACUCACUCAAAAGUAUGUAUUUCUUAGAAAUAUGUAGAACUAUAUAUACAUGAAGAUUGAAUCAACCUAAGGAAAGAAUAUCUCUAAAUUAGAAUUUCUAAAAAUCAGUUGUAAUCUCUAAAGAUACUAAUCAAUGCUAUCAAAUAAUCAAAAGAUUCUCAACACUUAUUUAUCUGUAAAUCGCAAUAAUGUUUACUUCUUGAUUACAGAAUCUCUUACAGUUGUUGGACAUGCACCCAAGUCAGAGGAAAAACGUGAAAUUGAGGCGGCUAAGGAAAAGGAGAGAUAUAAGUAUAUGGGAAAAUCAAUACAGGAGCUUGACCUUUCUAACUGCCAAAGUUGUACUCCAAGCUAUCGGCUUCUGCCUGAUGAUGUAUAAACUUUUGUUUUUUUCCCCCAUGCAAAUUAUUUAUGAUUUGGCACCAGUUUUUAAUGCUCUUUGGUGUUUCUUUUGCAGUACCCAAUACCUAUCGCAAGUCAGAGAUCUGAGCUCGGCGCUCUAGUGCUGAAUGAUAAUUGGGUAUCUGUGACUUCAGGAAGUGAGGAUUAUUCUUUUAAGCACAUGCGCCGAAAUCAAUAUGAAGAGAGCUUGUUCAGAUGUGAGGAUGAUAGGUAAAUUUUCCGGGCCUUCCUCAAUUUAUUCCAGUGCUAUGUAUGCAUUCACCUUGGUGAUUAUUUAUCUCUUUUUGUAAUUUAAUUAUGCGUCGUUCCCAUUGUAAUUUUAUAUACUGCAUGUGAAGGUGAGAAUGAACUUUCGUAAGAAAUAUCUAUAUGCACUGAUUAAUUAUUCAGUUCGUUUAUGCCCUUUUGUAUUCCGGUGUUAAACUAUCUGACUGGUCAAUGUACUAUAGGCUUAUGAGCAAAUUAGUCCUAUAAAAGCGAGCAAUUUAAUCUUUGUAGAUUUAAUUUUAAAGCAAAAAGGUAAAUUUGUAAACGGUGGUAAGGUUGAAUGUUAAAACAUAUUGACUUGCCAUGUUUUAAAGUGGCAAGAGAAAAACUGAGCAAUUUAGUCCUUGUUGUGUUUUGAAAAUGUUUUGAAUUUCUUUUUCAUUUGUCACUUUAAAACACAAGUCAGCUUUUCUUAUCCUUCAAAUUUACCACUGUUUAAAAAAAAUACAAGGAUUAGCUUGCUCAUUUUUGUAGUAGAGGGACUAGUUUGCCCUUUAGCCUUUGGUACAGGGACCCACCAGUUGCUUUAACCGAAAUCUAGAUAUUAUAUCCUUCCUGGACAUGACAGUUCUUGUUUGAUGGUCUUAGGUUUGAGCUGGAUAUGUUGUUAGAAUCCGUGAGCUCAACAGCCAAGCGUGCCGAGGACUUGCUAAAUAGCAUUAAUGAAAAUAAAAUAAAUUUGGAUUCUCCGUUCCAUGUUGAAGAACACUUCACUGGUUAUGUCUCCUUGCUAUGUGAAACCUUUUUCAUCAUUUUAUGUCUCCUUGCUAUGUGAAACCUUUUUCAUCGUUUUAACUUUCGGACUCUUCUUGAUCACUUACUGUAGUUCUAAAUUUAAGGUGCAUUGAGCGUUUAUAUGGUGACCAUGGUCUUGAUGUGAUGGAAAUAUUACGUAAAAAUCCUGCUCUUGCAUUACCCGUCAUUUUAACUCGCCUGAAGCAGAAGCAAGAAGAGUGGACGAAGUGCCGUUUAGACUUCAACAAGGUUUGGGCUGAAAUUUAUUCGAAAAACCAUUACAAAUCGCUUGAUCACCGCAGCUUCUAUUUCAAGCAGCAGGAUUCAAAGAACUUGAGUGUGAAAUGUAAGUGGGAGUGAUGAUUCUUAACAACUUGUUUCUGGUAUAGGGUAUACUUUGCGGUCUACAAUGUUCUUAUUACUUCAAAUGAUCCCUUUUUUUUUUCUAAUUGCAGCUUUAGUGGCUGAAAUCAAGGAGUUGAAAGAGAAGAACCAGAAAGAGGACGAUGUUCUUAUGGCUAGCGUUGCUGGUCACCGACAACCCCCCGCUCCACACCUUGAAUAUGAAUAUGUGGAUGUCAACAUUCAUGAGGACCUAUAUAAACUUAUAGAAUAUUCAUGUGAAGAGAUGUGCUCAACGAAAGAACAGUUAAAUCGAGUAAUGAGGCUGUGGACCACUUUCUUGGAACCAAUGUUGGGUGUGCCUCCUCAACGUAAUGGCAGAAAGGGCACUGAAGGUGCUGGUAAAGCGCAGAAUUCUGCUGUAAAUGGCACUGCAUCAAGCAUUGCUGAAAGUGAUGGGAGCCCUGGAGCUGAUGCUACUGUAAAUUCAGGGCAACCAAAGGCUGCUAGUAAUGGAGAUGGGAACAGUUCUUCCGAACUAACAAAUUCUUGCAGAAAUGGGUUGACAAACAGGGAAACUUUAGCGAAAGAUGAACACUCAGUUCGUGUCUCCAGAGUUGAUUCGAAGCCAGAGAAAGAGAUUAAAUUUACAGCUGAUAAAAGGCCUGGAAUUAACAUGGUUGCUAUUGGAAUCAAAGCAGAAAAUAAUCAGGGCCGAAGCAAUGUUGAAGGGACAUCAGGUGUGUAGUCUGCAAAAGUUUCAUGAAAAUCACUUCCGUGAUUUUGUUGUUCAUUGAUCUCAUUUUUGUUAUUACUUUUAUUCUUGUUAUUCCUUCUUUUCUGAGAUCAUGUUGCAGUACUGAGAUUAGUUUGAAUUUCAAGGUCCCGGUGCAGCUGCAUCUAGACCUACUAGCAUUACUGCUGGUGAGGCUCAUGAAUCUGAAGCUAAUGUUGAUCCUGUACAUUCAUCGGAGGUAUGAUUUUGUGUAUAUCAACUACUAUAUUCUACUUAGCAUCACUGAAGCUGGUAUUACUAAAUGGUUUUAGUAAAAUAUAGCAAUGUUUGGCAUCUCCUGUGAAUGUUGCUUUGAUUCUUUAUUUUGCUUGAAGUAUUUCUGUUUGGCAUCUAUGUUCUAAACAUAUUUAGACAUGGAUGUGAAGAUAUGAACUUCCAAGGAUCCUCAAAAAUAAAAGAAAAAACAUACCUGUGUCAGACACAAAUUUAUCCUAUGCUUACACCUAAGUAGGUUUGCCUAUGCAAUUUGGUUAAUUCGGUUUGGUUAGUUUGGUUUUAGUGUUAGUCAAUUAAAGGUUUAAUGCCUCGUUUGGUUACUAGUGUAAUAACAUGAGGAAAAAGCUUAUUUAUUACAUAUGUAUUUCAAUAGUUGGACAUCAAAUACAGAAUAGUUAGUACAAAUUUAAACUUAAAAUUAGAAAGAUGAGUAAAAGCUCUUCUAAAAAAUAAUACCUCUUCAAAAUAACCGAAAAUUUUUCCUUCUCUUUGCUAAAAAAAAGUCAUGGGAGUGCCUAAAUAUUAUCAAUUGAAUUAGUUUAUUGCUUACUCAUGUACUAAAACAUGUGUAAAAAAUAAUACUCUUACCGAAUGUAGAGUAAAUGUGUAGUGAUUCUUGGUUUACAUAACUGAUAAUUGAACCAGCAAACUAAAUGACUUAAUGUAUUAUAUUUAUAUUUGUAUCUUUUUAUAUAUUUAUAGUAGUAUAGAUAUAUGGAAAAAUACUUAAUUGAUUACAUUUCUCCAAUGGUUAGGAUAUUUUUUAAGGAAAUAUAAAUAAUUGUUUUAAAUAAAUUGGAAUUAAAAAAUGGUAGAUUAGCCUAUUUAUUUUCGGUUAAUCAAUCGACUUAAGUCUGUUUGAUUAUUUCAUUUUUUUUUUUAAGUCAAGUUUGGUUUUUGGUUAUUAUUUAUGGGAGGUAAGUUGAACUCAGCUUUCAGGUUUUUUUACCAAACCAAUCGAAUUGACCAACUGCAUGUCCUUAUACCCAAGUGGGUUCUCUCUUUAAUUUUAAGUCAUAAUAAAUAUGCUUAUUCAAAUUUGCUUGGUGAUUCAGGGUGUCACUGUAGCAAAACAUCCUUUAAUAGUAAAUGGAACGCCUACAGAUGGCUCUAAUGCUAGCAGAUAUCACGAAGAAUCCACUGGUCCCUCCAAAGUCGAAAAAGAAGAAGGUGAAUUAUCACCUAAUGGUGAUUUUGAGGAGGAUAAUUUUGUUGCCUAUGGUGAUGCUGGUCCAAAGGUAGUGCCGAAGGCAAAGCAUGGUGUUGAAAGCAGACAACAGCGAUCUGGAAAUGGGAAAGAUUUGCAUUCCGUGGAUGCUGGUGGAGAAAAUGAUGCGGAUGCUGAUGAUGAGGAUAGUGAAAAUGCCUCGGAGGCUGGUGAUGAUGCAUCGGGCAGCGAGUCUGCAGGUGAUGAAUGCUCCCAUGAAGAGGAGGAAGAGGUCGAACGUGAUGAAGUUGAUGGUAAGGCUGAGAGUGAAGGUGAAGCCGAAGGAAUUGCUGAUGCACAUGUGGGAGGAGAUGGGACCUCCUUGUCAUUCUCGGAACGUUUUCUUUUUACAGUGAAGGCUCUUUCAAAGCACGUACCACCAGCUUUACCUGAAGAUGAGAAAUACAAUUCUUGGGUUUUUUAUGCAAAUGACGAUUUCUAUGUUCUUUUCAGACUUCAUCAAGUACGUUAGAUUUCUAAAUCUUUUUAGUUAUUUCUUCUUUUUUUUCUUUCUACAUUUUAGUAAGUAUUCUUUAUUCUUUGAUUUUCAUUAGAUCCUGUACGAAAGAAUACUUUCGGCAAAAACAAAUUUAGCCGGUGGUGAAAUAAAAUGGAAACAUUUGAAAGACACUAGUUCUUCAGAUUUAUAUGCCAGGUGAUUUACUUUUCUAUAUAACUCUACUGAACAAUUUGAAGGGUUUAAUGCAUUCUAAUUCAGAAAUUUCAUCUCUUUGGUACCCAGAUUUAUGAGUGCAUUGUACAGUCUGCUCAAUGGAUCGACCGAUAAUACGAAGUUUGAGGAUGAAUGCCGAGCUAUAAUAGGAAACCAGUCAUAUGUGUUAUUCACAUUGGACAAGUUGAUAUAUAAAUUGGUUAAACAGGUUUGCUUCGUCAACGGUCUUCCAACAUUCUUCCUUGUUUUCCAUUCAAUCAUUUGAGAUAUUUUCAUUGCAGCUUCAAGCUGUUGCAGCGGAUGAGAUGGAUAAUAAGCUUCUUCAAUUGUAUGAAUAUGAAAAAUCCCGGAAACAUUGGAAGACAAUGGAUUCAGUUUAUUACGAGAAUGCACGUGUCCUCCUCCAUGAGGAGAAUAUAUAUAGACUGAAAUGCGUAAGUUUUACAUGUUCCUCUCUUACACCCCUUUUCCGGAAAAAGAAAUGAACUGAAUAAGGAACAUGAAUGCCCUACGUAUGUACACUUUGGCUUCCUUUUUUGCAGUCAUCUUUGCCAUCUCGUUUGUCUAUUCAGCUGAUGGACAAUGUCAUUGAAAAGCCCGAAGCAUUUGCUGUUUCCAUGGAACCUAAUUUUUCAGCCAUUUUGCACAAUGACUUUCUGUCAGUCUUUCCCGGAAAGAAGGAACCACAUGGCAUCAUACUAAAGAGGUAAUGACGGAUAAAAAAUGUAGCAUGUAGAUGCUAGGUUCUGCUAGCCUCUUAUGUGUUAUUAUAGAUGAUUGUAGCAAAGAAAAGAAUUGGAAUAUGUUACUCCUUCCUAUGUUGCUCAAAUUGUGAUGAGUAUCAGAUAUGAGAAUGUGCCCUACGCAGAUAUAUUGAAUCUUUUAAAAAAAAAAUCUUCUAAUUGGAGGAUCUUUAGUGGAUCAUAUCCCAUCUCCUUAUCUGCACAUGAGUACUUCAAGAAAAAUGAAGCGUCAGAGCAACAUAUACUAGUGCUAAUAAGCUUUUUUCUUUACUGAUAUUGCAGAAACAAGAAGUAUUCAAAUCCUAUGUUACUUGGACUUGGGUGUGAGUGUUAGAUACGAGUAUGUGUCUGACACGGGUGUAUAGUAUUUUCUUUUUUCUUUGUUUUUCUAUCUAAUUGGAUGAUCCUUAGAGGAUAUAGGUGUUGGGCACGAGUCUACCAAAGAAUUAUGGAACAUCAGAGCAACAUGGACUAGUGCUAAUCGGGUUUUCUUUAUCGAUGUUUGCAGAAACAAGAAGAACUACGCAAAUCUAGAUGAAUUUGAUGCUACUUGCAUGGCCAUGGAAGGCGUUGAACUGGUUAACGGUUUAGAGAACAAGAUAGCUUGCAACUCAUACAAGGUAUCGUGCUGUUAUAACAUUGGGUUUAAUCUUUUGUCUUCCCUUCUUUCAUUGGACUACGGAAGCACGGCGCAUGCUUUAUCACUAAGAAAAUGCCUUUGCAUGUACUGAGUACCUUGGGUUUUUUUCAUUCAUGAUCUGUGUAAUUGUUUGUCAGAUAUCUUAUGUAUUGGACACUGAAGAUUUCUUCUUUCGUAGAAGAAAUUCAUCACGGCGCAGAUCACGCAGUAAUCAGGCAAGAAUACAACGGUUCCUUAGAUUUUUAUCCACUACACAAUAAUUUAGCAUUCUCUCUCAGCGGCACGAAAGGUACAUUCAACAUUGCGAUCUUUCCAUCUUCAUAACUCUUAAAUUACUUGUUUAUGACAAUUUUCAAGGACAACUUAAUUUAUCCACUUCAUGGCUUUCUGGCAGAACCCAUUGGUGGAAACCAAACCCCAAAAGGCUUUCGAAAACGACAUGUUUUGUGUAUGUUCAAACAUGGUCGAUGCUCAGACUGAAGAAAGGACGAACUGUUAGGAAAUGUAGCAUAUUUGUAAGAUGAUAUGAGCAGGAUCUGACCAAUUAUCCUGUAAAUAGGAUUUGCAAUUUGCAUGAUAAUUUGUAAAGAAAAGGAAAAAGGUAAAAGAAAAAAAAAGAAUCAUUGUUCCAAACGUGUUUUAUGCUUUUACCCACAGGUUUACCAGCUUCUUCCAAUUUGCAUAUCUAGUUCAUAGUGAAGCUACCUGAGUAAUUACAAUGCAUGCAAAGGACAUAAGAGGAAAUGUUGAGAACCAAAUAUUAUCCUUGUGAGUGAUUGUAUCAAUUAAUUGGGUUUAAUUCAUUUUGUUUGACAUGGCGAAGCCAUUAGAAAUCCGAAAAAAGAUACCGAUGGUUAUAUUGCUUUUGUAUUACUAUCGAUUCUUUUGAAUAUUUUAAUAAAAUUUUUAUAAUAUAAUGUUAUCAGAUAUGCAUGUAAAUGUACUUCAUCUGCUAUUCAUAGAAUUAUUAUUUAUGUAUUCGUAAUUUUUUAUUGAUUUAUAAAAUAUAAAAAAUAAAAUUACUUUGACAAAAAGAAACGCUAGUGUUAAUUAAUGGCAAAAAGUUAAAGAACAAAAACCUAAUUUGACAAGAUUUUGACACUACUUUUCUUUAAUAUCUUUUUCUCCCUCUUACCCCUAAAAUUAUUAUUUAAUCAUAUGAGGUUGAUGUAAAAAUUAUGCUUGAAAUAUUUUUAAUAUGCAUAUAUAAUAAUAUUGUAAUAGUUGCAAAUGAAAAUUUGCUUGAUUAUUAACUAAGAAUUAUCACUUUUAUAGUGAUGAAUUAUGUCCCUUAAAUUCAAAAUUUAUAUUAUUUUAUUAUUAAUAAUGAAUCAUGUUUAUUUAAGGAUAUGCCUAUUAAAUAAUUAUAUUUAUUGUUAAAAGAUAUCACUAUCAUUUUAGAUAGUCGUGUUCAUAUAAAAAAAAAUGAAAACUUUUAUAAAUAGAAAUAAACUCUCAUUUGUCUCACACAAAAAAAAACACAUCAAAUCUUUCUUCUUUUUCUCCCACCAUUUUUUAUAUUCCUAUAUCAUUCUAUAAAGAAUUACUAUAAAAAUUCUUUAUAAAUAUUGAUGUUCUUGCUAUACUCCACUAGUAGACUACUUUCGUCAAUGCAAAACGUAGAUAAUAUUAAACUCCAUUGUAUCCUUUUAAGUUCUUUUGCCAAUAACUCUUUUACACACCAUAAUAAAAUCAAUACAAAUAAAAUCUUAAAUAAAAUAACAUUGAUACAACACCUUAAAGCCUUUGCUAAUUUCUCUUAAAUUUAUUUUUAUCCCCACACUUGAAAGAUUUAUUUACAAGUCUCUAAAAUAAUAAUAAUAAUAAUAAUAAUAAUAAUAAUAAUAUAGAAAGUAAAUAUAGGAUUUAUUUAAAUUAUUAUAAUAAAUUAAAGUACUAUUAUUUAACACUGCGAGGGAAAUAAAAAACUUCGUAUGUAAGUUUAAAACAUGGUCAUGUGAUGUGUUGUGAAGAUAUAAAACAUCUGCAUUCCAACCCCACUUGUGAUUUUAUUUUUAUUCUACAAGCAGAAUAAUUAUCUACAAAAAUUAAAUUAAAUUAGAUGAGUUUUUUAGAGGGUGGGCAAGGCAAGUGGGGAAAAUUUUGCUUUAAUAAUUGGAAGUUUGAAUCUAUCGCUGUCUUGUCUUCGCCCCACAAUCCCUUUACAUUGGGAUUUAUGAUUCAAAGAUGAAAUCAUAAUCGAAGCAGCUGAAUGUUUACCAAUCAAUCCAUUGUGAAUGCCUAAAGUUCUUUCUGUUUUAAAAUACUGCAUUCGACAUGUACUCACUCAUUCCAAAACUCAUACUCGAGGGUCGUAUAAAAACAAAAGCAAAAGGGAGGACACUAAGCAGUGCAAUUAGUUAGGAACUUGGAAAUCUAGUUCACACCCAAAAAGAUAACCCCUCUAAAAUUCACAAUGAUUUCUUUUUUCUUUUUUCUUUAAUCAGUAAGUACUUCAGAAACUUAUUGAAUGUUCUAAGUUUCUGAAAAAGAGAGGAAAAAUGGGAAGCUCAAAGAGGAAAUUAUGAAAUGCACGAAAAGACAGAUUAUAUGAUUACUUGAGAGGGUUGUUGGAUCGAGAAAAUACAUCCAACAGUGUCAGAAACAAAUGUUGCGUACCAUUUUUGAACAUGUGUAUUUGGUCAUCUUGAGUUAGAGAAUCAAAUAGAGAAGGACGAUUGGGGACUUCAAUGAAUCUCUUCUUUUCUUGCAACUUCGGCAUACCAAGAGUUCCAUGCUUCCAUGUAAUGAGCAAAAAGGUCACUAAGAGCUGCAAUAACAUUAACACAAAACUCUAUCAUACAAUAAUAAUGGCAAGGAUAUGGAUUCUAAUAUGAUCACAUAUGAUGUGCAAUUGCAGGAUCUCUAUCCAUCUAGUACGGGGUUCUAUUCAUAAAUCCAAAAUGAAAGGACGAAACAGUUCCUCUCAGAUGAGGAAAGUCUUGUACAAUGUCUUUGAGCUAUGCUGCUCCCGACUCUUCAAUUUUUCUAAUGUAGUCAUGUUCCAUUAUCUAUAUUCGUCCAUGGUAUGACUCUUCAGAUAUAUAUAUAUAGAAAAACUUAGGAGAAAAUGCAAUAUACCCAAUAUCGACUUAAGAGUUCAAGUAACAUAUUGAAUGUAAGCAAUGGAAUGAUAUUUUUAAUAUUUCCUUAACUUUUUAGUCCAAUCACCAUGAAGUAUCAUAAAAGAUAGCUCACAUUGGUGACGUUACUGAAGUUGGCAGCAAGAAAAGGUGACAGAAUCCUUCGGAUGCUUAAUCAAGCAUCCAACUAAUGCCAGAAUUUUGCAGUGCCACUUAUUAAUAAUGCAUGUUCAACGAUGUCUAUUUUUAAGUAAUGAACUAAAGAAGGUACCUUGAUUAAGAUACUGAGGUUUAUAAAUAGAAGCAAGGCUCUCCCAGUCCCGAAUUGGUCUCACAUUUCUGUUUCCUGAGGAUAUAGCAGCAGGAGUAAAAGGGCCAAAUGCAAAACCCUUGGAGCAUUGCUUUGAAUGUUGCUGCAUUUUAUGAUCAUGUUCUACACUAUCGAGCUUAAUAUGCAUUCCCGUAUUUUCCUUCUGGUUUAACUUCCGAUGAAUAGAGGAGUUUGCCUUCGUUCUCUUUAGAUUUUGGUUUGUAAUUUCAGUCCCAAACGUCCUCUUCUUUGAUUCAUUCAAUUCCAAUGCUGUCGUUGAUCCAUUGUGGAGUUUGGCUCCCCAUCCCAGCCACCUGAAUGCUGGUUUCCUGCUUUCGGGGUGAUGGGUCUGAAAAUCAAUCAACCAAAUAAAGCUACGUAAGUAGAAUUCAUGUCGCAGAUAAGAUUAUGUUCGACACGAAUAUAUUUACAUAUUCUCUAAGUUUUUUCAUAUAUUUGGCGGGUCCUUUGAGAGUCAUAUCUCCAUACCCGUAACCGAGUAUUUGUCAAGUACAAGUGCCAGACAUGAAUACUUCAAGGAGUUGGAGCAACAUGGAUGAUAGAUUGUACCUUCUCAAUUAAAUUCAUGGAAGAAAACACAUUGGCAAUGUCAUACAAUCGUCUCACUUUUGCUGCAAAACAAUUACCAGACAAAAGCGUAAGGGAUUGACCAUUAAAAUUUCAGACAUGACAUUAAUAAUGGUUUGUUGCUCGCUUACUUCUCACAGCAGUAGAAUUGUGGACAUCUCCCAGCAAAGCAAUCGCUGCACUAUCAAGGGUGAUCAAUUCAGCCUGUAGAAAAAUAAAUCAGAUAUUUGGCAUAGACCAUACAGGACAAAUAAACCAGUAUAUAACAACAAAUCCACAUAAAGCAGUACGUUAUCUUACAUCUGAACAAAGGAAAAGCUUGACAAAGUUCUGUGUGAUAAGCCAAAGGGAUUUUUCUCUUUUUGUAUCUAAGCAAUAAACAAUAAUGCUGAGUAAAUUAAAUAAAGCAAUUAAAGUUGAAAGUAUUUUACAAUAAAAGUGUCCCACGCAUGAAUUGACUGUAUGUAAACACAAUGAUCUCUAUUGCAAGUAGUAUAUUAGCAAAUCAAAAUAAAGAAGAAAAGAAACUAUUACCAGUACGUUUUGAUGAUUCUGAAAGAUUAUCUUGCCCUUCAUUCUUCACAUAUGAAGAGUCUGCACUUUCAUUUUCAUCUAAGACCUAUGCAAAAUAGCUCAGCUAGUUAAACAUGGCAAGGCCAGAGAAUAUUAAUAAGACCUCUAUUACAAAAACAAUGUUUUGAAUUCCUCAAAUUUUACUUCGAAAAAAAGGUACAAACAGAAGGCCAGAUUUUUAAGAUAUAUUUAGACCCAAUUUCCGCUUAUAUUAGAUUAAGAUAUUGAAGCUAAAAUUUUCUCAGCAUGCAGAUGGAGUAAGAAAACCAAAGUAGAAUUAUACCCUUAAUGAUUUACUGCAAUCUGAGAAACAGAAAUUCUGUUUAAGAGCCUCUUCCUGUAAGCAGAACACAUGAUAAAUCAAGUUCUUCAGUUUUAAACGAAUAAAAAGUGAAAAAUGAAAUGCAGAAAUUUAGAAUCUACCUUAAGCUUCUCCAAAGCCUUUGGAAUUUCUCCAAAACCCUUCCAUAAGUAUUGGUUCUUUCCUUUUCUUGCCACUACCUAAACAAGAGAAUGCCAAAAACCAACUCAAACUAAUCUAUUCACUGAACUAAACCAAUAAAAAGAGUCCAAAAGAAACUGCAUCUUACUCCGAUACUCUCCAAUAUAUUCACUACAUCAUAUAUACGACGACGUUCAACUCCUGAAAUAUGCAAAAGGGUUCCAGUAAAGCAAAUUAAUAUGAUUUUAAUCCAAAAUUGAUUUUUUAAUCGAAAAUUGAUUUUUAAGACUUGAGUAGUCUAACUUAAUUAAUGGGAAUUCCGGUAUAUCUCCAAGGGUCCAGAUUUGAGCGGAAAAAUCGAUUGAAAUUUCGCAAUAAACAAACAAAAUUUGAAAAAAAAACUGUCAGUAAUGAUUUCAUUUGGCAACAAUGAAAGGAAAAAAUAGAGUAUAGACCUAGUUUUGAAGCCGCAUCAUCCAGUCCAAUCGUUUGAACGCUGUCAUGAUUAUACAACGCCAAAAAACUGAUACAAAGGAAUUUAAAUUAAAAAAAAAAGAGACGUUUAAAGAUUGAACAAGAUAAAAUAUAAGAAACUUUAAGUAGCUGAAAAAAAAAUUACUUGGAGCAUAAAAGGCCAAGAGAUUUUUCUUUGCGGCAGUAAAGAGUUCGUGAAUUAGAUUCAGAUUCUUGAGAAGCAAACGAAGACAUUGAUGUUUUCCCGAGAAAACCAAGAUAACAAGAAACGUAAAAAGGAAAAUUGGAUCUAUUUAUUUUCUUGUUUGGUGAGUGAGAAAGAGAGAGAAAAUAUGAUUGGCGGGUUUGAGAAUUCAAACGUGAAAUCAGAUCUGGUUUGUCCUCUCUUUUUCAUUUUAAUUCAUGUUGGCAUUUGGUUAGUCCCGCGGAUUCAAAUUGAGAUCUUGAACCGCGAAUUUACGUAAUUACUCUUUUGUCCUUGGCCUUCCCAUUGGGCUUAUCUAAAAAUGGUAUAGGCAUCCAAUACAACAAAAUUAAAUUAAUAAAUUUAAUAGUAAUUUUACAUUUACAUUUACUUUGUUUAUAAAUUUUAGUAAUGGUUAGUCAAUUAAAAACAAUGGAUACCCUAAGAUUACUUCUAACUCAGUUACUCUAAACCUUUUUUUUAAUCCUUGUUUUUAUCUUCAUCCAUAUGACCUGAACUCGAAACCUUGUUUAAAAAGCAUCAAGCUCCUUACCAUUUAACCCAACAAGCAUUAGUAUAUCAUGAAAAUUUUUACAAUUUUUUUAGUGCAAACAAUGAACAAAACAAUGCAAAUUAAUACACAAAUAUCAUGUCCACUGAAUGAUCCCAAAAGAGGAGAAAGACAAACCGACUAUAGCCAUAACACUCGAAAAAUUCAGAAACAAACUAAAAAUGUAUCACCUUGAUCAAACCAUUGAAAUUGCAUCAAAACCCUAUCAUUAUCAGACCAACCUAAUGAUGAACUCCAAUUAACCAAAAAACCACUGCCAAGACCCUAAAAGACCCACCACAUCAGUGAUGCACAAAAUGUCAAAUCUCAUAUAAGACAUUGCAAAUUAAUAAACAAAUGCCAUGUCGACUAAAUAAUCCCAAAAGGAGAAAGACAAACUAACUAUAGUCAUAACAUUCGGGGAAUUCAGAAUUAAAUUAAAGAUGCCUCGCCUUGAUCAAACUAUUGAAAUUGCAUCAUAACCCUAUCAUUAUCAGACCAACUUGACGAUGAUCUCAAAUUAACCAAGAAAUCACUAUCGAGACCCUAAAAAACUCAUCACAUCGAUGAUGCACAAAAGAUCAAAUCUCAAAUAAUUUAUCCUUCUUAUCAUUAUCUUAGGUUCCAAUUUUACAAUAUCAUCAUUCUUCUCUAUCAUGAAAAGUCCCUCAAAAAAUAUUCUCAUAAAAGAUUUUAUAAUCAUGGUUAAUUUAUAUUAAGUAAAUCUAAUUUCGAAAUGCGUAUACGCUUGAUUUAUUAUUUUAUAUGGCAAAAUAACUUGAUUAUGGAGGCUUUCUAUCUCAUCCGAUCCAAUAAGGAUGGAAUUCUUUUAAGCGGGUUCAAGAGCGGGACGAGUUUUUAUUUAAUUUUUUUAAGAUCAGAUUUUGAUUAAAUCUACACCGCCCCAUCUCCAAAUAUUAUCAAAAUACUCCUCUUUUAAUUUUAUAAUUUCUUUUAUAUAUUUUAUUUAAAAAGUUCCAAAUUUUUGUAAGAUUUUUAACUCUUUUUAUAUGCUAAUUAGGUAUUUUUUAUUUUUAUAAUUUUUAUAUAUUUUUAUUUUUUAUACAAUAUUGAGGGUGGGGACGGGAGUUACACGAUUUGAACCCAUAUUAAACGAGUGUUUGAUAAGAGUUUUAAUCACCACUUUGUACGUCAAGAUAUAAUAUAUUUUUUUUUAUUCAAGACAUAAUACCAAAUUUAGUGCAAGAUGUUUAUAUCAUUUUUUUUCAAUUUAGCCCUAUUCUCCUUCUUCUUCUUUUUUUAAAGUUAAAUUUGGCCUUCAAUCUUUUGAAAAAAGUUAAAUUUUAUCAUCAACAUUUCAAAAAGAAUCGAAUUGUUAUUUUUUAACAAAAAUACUGACUAAAACAUUAAAAUUUUAAACGUGGUAGCUCGCAUGGAGAUCAACAUAUACUUCAUGUUUUUUUUUAUGAAUUUUUAUUUUUUUGUUGAUGUCGUAUAUAAGACAAAUAAUAACAUAUCAACAUGAAAUAUACGUGAAUUGUCACACAGGUUGUCACUUUAAAUCAUUAAAAAAUGAUAUUUUAUUCAACAUAUCUAUAAAAAAUUAAUUUGACUCUUUUAAAAAGAUUAAGGUUCAAAUUUAAUUAAAAAAAGGAAUAAGGGUCAAAUUGAUAAAAAUAUUUAAAUUUGAUAUUAUAUAUUUAUUUAAUUUUAUAAAUUUUAAUAUAAUAUAAAACAUUUAUUUAAUAUUUCAGGUGAAGUCAUAUGAAAGUUAAAGAAUUUUUAUUUUUCCAAAGUUGUAUUAGGAUAUUAAGUAUGGGUUUAGAUGGACAAUGCCUUUAGUUACUGUUAGUGUAAAAAUAAUGGUGGUGAUGAGAUUAAAUACUAUAACGAUACUAUAGCGUGAGAUAAAAAAUAAGCUAAACGCACUGCACCGAAUCUCCCCGUUCAUCCAAACUCACACUAAAUUUUUAAAUAAAAUCAAGUUUUAGAGUAGAGUAGGAGUGGAAAAUACAAAAAUCCAAUGAAAGUGGGAGAUUGCCAUCUCUAAUUUAACUGUAUUUAGAUGACAAUUUAUCAAAAUAUUAGAAUCUGUAUUAAAAAAAUUGAGGUUACCAAAAAUAAUUUAGAGGGCAAAAAGGGAAUUUCAUGUUAAAGGGCAAAGAUUUAAGACUUACCACGUGCGGUUUAGGUGGCAGUGCGCUUAGUUAAAACGGGUGGCGCGCCAAAAGGUUUGGAAAGGCAUCGGUAUCGAGACUGAAACUGUUUUAUUUGAUCACGUGACUGUCCUUAGCCACUUAACCUCAAUUAUUCUGCAAACUAUUAUUUUAAAAUAUGGCGUCGAGUAUUAGAUUCAAUAUUGAUAUUUGCCUAAUUUUUCAGAAAUUUUAAUUGAACUUAUGUAUUAAGUUUUUUAUGUUAAGUUUAUUUUUAAUAAUUUUAAAUUUAUCUUUUAAAUUGAUAAUUCAAAACUAAAUGGACCUAAAAAUUGAAUUAAUAGCUUAGUAUUAAAUUUAUCUUUUAAAAUUUUUUUACCUUAUUAAAUUUAUUUUAAUUUUUUAAAAUUUGUUUUUAGCGUUAGAUUUAUUUAUUUUUAAUAAUUUAAUUUAUCUUGUUACACAUUUUAUGUUUGUUAUUGUAGCACGUUUUUCCUUUCCCUCUUCUCUUUCUUUCAUUUUUUUCGACUCUUCUUUAUUUUUUUUCCCACAAGUCCCUACCCUAGAUCUUUUUCUCUUUUUUCCCUAUUUUAUUAACAAUUUUAUAGAGGAUAAAAUAACGAGAUUGACAAUUAAUGACGAUGGAGAGGAACCUAAAAAAUUGAUUUGAACAAUGGUGAGGCAAUCAAAUCAAUGGAUUUCAAUUUAAUGGGAUGCUUUCUUGCAACAAGUGUGGUUCAUUUUCAAUCUAUGCGCAAUACGAUGGCUCAUCUCUACCAACCAACCAAUAGUGUCUUCAUCAUGGAUUUUAAGUGAGAAGCAAUCUUUUUUCAAGUUCUAUUAUGAGAUUGAUGUUGAUAGGGUGGUUGAGGGAGAUCCUUGGACUUUUAACAACCAUCUUUUAUUGAUUCAUCGCUUAAAGAACAAUGAAGAUCCUAUGCAAGUCCCUUUAUUCUUUGUCAACUUUUGGGUUCAGAUAUAUUGCGGAUAAACCCGAUUAAGCAACAAACAAGUAAAAUCAUGAAUAAAUUGAAAAGAUCGAACACAACUAUUUUACGUAGAAAACCAUUCUGAAAAGGAUAAAAAAUCACGAGCAAAGAUAAUUACACUAAAAUGACAAAAACGAAGAGUACAAAGAUGGAGAUAAAUCUGAACCCUAAAACCCAAAAAUAAAAACCCUCAAAAUAUAAACCCAAAAUUCCCUAAAAGCUUGUAAAAGCUAAUAGUAAAUGGGUUAUGGGUUAUUUUUCUAGAAUGGAAAAGGGCCUAUUUAUAGGCUAAAUUCGUAGGUCAAAUAAUAUUAAAAUAACCUACAUUAAUCAGAGUUUGAACGGGACAAAUAAUCAAAAUUUGACUGGAAGAAUAAAACUGAGAAAAUUGCAUAAUACGUCGCCUCGUCAUGACAUGGUUGCUGCAUCGUCGGGACGCCCUUCAUCGCGUUGUCGGGACAACGCCUCUUCCUCAUAGGUAUGUCAACUUUUUUUGGCCAAAAAUGCAAGGCAUACUCUACAAAUCUCCACCUUGACUCGUAUUUCCAUAACAACUUCUUUGCUAAAGCUCGCCACUGGCCUAUCUCGAACAAUGCAGGUUAUUAACUGAGUUGAAGUUGUGCUUAGAAACUAGAAGACUUCUAGCCUUCGACUUGUGUACUGCCAAAUCAAAACUAACCUAGGACUGGUUUCCACGAAUGUAGUACCCUGUCUUUUCAAAACCUAUAUAAAAAAGAGAACCUCUCUUAUAUGAAACAGUCAUACAUUUUUUUUGUUUUAUGACCAAGUUGCCUCCACUUCAAAUGAGUCGACUUCAACUUCUUAACAGACAAAGGACAUAAUGUUUCACCGGUUACCGUUGAUCCUUUCAGAAUAUAAAGACUGUCAAUCCUUUUACCUUUCAUAAAAACAAAAGCCUCGUGAGAUACUUUAAUGCCGCUUGAAUCGAUGUUAAUUCUACAACUCUUCGAGUCUAAAUUUCCCAAUGAGAUGAGAUUUCUCUUUAAAUCAGGUACAUACCUAACGUCUGACAGUGUCCUGAUUAUCCCAUCGUGCAUCCUGAUCUGAUCUGAAUUGUACCAAUAUCGAUUACCUUAUUAGGUAAACCAUUUCCCAUACUCACAACUCCACCUUCAACUGAACUGUAUGUGGAGAAACAGUACUUGUUGGGACACAUUUGGAACAAACACUCAAAAUCUAAGAUCCACUCGGACGUAAGCUCGGAGCUUUCGCUUGUUGACACCAACAAGAAAUCAUCACCCUUUUCAUCAGCCAAAUUAGCACCAACUAAAUCUUCUUCUUUACUCUCCGCAGCCCUUUUAUUUCGCAGUUUGUAACAAUCUACCUCAAUGUGACCUAACUUCUUACAACAACAACAUCUCUUGUCUUGCUUACUUGAUGCUACCAAAAUUGAGGCUUGCCUAUCUAACUUGAUAUCCAAACAAAACUCAUUUUUGAGUUUAUCUUUGCUCAACAGAUGACCCUUCAUAUCCUCGAAUGAGAGAUUAUUCUGUCGUAAAUUAGGUCUCUCUAAAAGACUUGUAUGAUGGGGGUAAAAAGCACAAUAAUAGCAGAGCCUAAUCUUCAUCAUCAAUUUGAACCUCAACAUUCUCUAAAUCAUGCAAAAGAGUAAUAAAGUGACUGAUGUGAUCUCUAAGGUGCUCACAUUUGUUCAUGUAGAACGUGUACAACCGUUGUUUCAACACUAAUCGGUUAGUUAGAGACUUUGUCGCGUAAAGGGUUUCUAAUAUUUUCCAUAGGGUGUAUGCCAUUUUCUCAAUUAACACCUCAUGUAACACAUUAUUUGUUUGGCAUAAUUGAAUUGUGUUUAUCAAGUUAAUUACAAGUUAAGUAAUUACUAAUCUAAUCGAGUUGGAAAUUAUUAGUGUAAGUUCAAAUAAAAUAAGAUUUGAGCUAUAUCUAAAUCAACAAAUAAAAAUAUCAAACUAACUUUCUUCCUUUUUUACUAGAAACAAUGCAAAUGGAUUGAAAUGAUGGUUGAAUGAGUCAUGGAUUAUUAACUAAGCUAAUAAAUCUAUGAUGAUUAUAUUGUUUGCUACUCCUAGCUAGGAAUCUUCUCUCAGUCUCGUCUAUCUAAAUCUUCUACUAGAGGCAUCAAUUCUAGUGUAAUAUGCAAUUUAAUACACUUGAGAAGACAAUCAAUCAAGGCAUAGAUAAUAACUUAACUAAGUAACUCACUCAUCAAUCAACCAAUAAAACAAUUCAGCACAUGAUUAAACUUAAAUUCCACACAAGCAUUUUAACAAGCACAUAGUAGGCAUAGAAUAUAAAAGAUAAAGGUUUAGAAAAUGCUUAUUAAUAGAAAAACAUCUGAUGAAGCACGAGCCUUUAGUACAUCUCCAUCCACAAGGUUCCAACAAAAAUGAAAAAAAAAAUACUACAACAAAAACAAAAGGAAAGAGAAAUGAAAAGCAAAAAAAAAAUGUAAACCUAAACUAAAAACUAUGAAACUAAGGAGAAAAUGUUUAGCCAACAAAAUUUGAAAUCAAAAGCUUAUAAAGUAAUAUUUAUAGUCUACUAAUAUUUAACCUAACAUUGACCAUUAUGCCCUUAAAUGAAAAAAGACUUAAGCUUGUUUGGACAAAAAAUUGCCCUUGCAGCUUUUCACCCAUCAGGCAGUGGUAUCAUGAUAAGCUUCGAUAUCGAGAAACCCAAAACAAUCUUGAACUUGAGAGUUUUGGAGGUUUCAACAUCACGAUAUCACUAAAGUUGCCUCAAUUUCCCUUACUUCAGCAUUGUUAGGUGUCACGACGUCCAUGCCACAGUAUCGCGAUACCCCCUUCUAAAUGAUGAUUUCUUCAAGUUCGGGACAUUAUCGAAUCCUUACACCACUCAAUCAUAUUGUUAGGUUCCCCAUGACACGACUGACCAAUUUGUGUCUCAAAAAUGGCAUAAAACUAAAUAAAAACAUUUAUUAAUGCUUAAAACUAAAAAUCGAUAAAAAUAUAUAAAAAAAACACUUAAAUUAAUUGAAAAUAAGCUCAUUUAGUAUAUUGGAGAGCCUAAUUUGACAUAUCAAAUUAUGCCUCCAUCAUGCUUUCAUUCAUUUUCUCUCAUGUGUAGUGCUUUCUGUACAAGAUGUUGCAUGAUAGAGGCAUGAAAAGGAUUAUAAUAAAUAAAUACAUUAGCAUAUUAAUAAGCAUAUAAAUUGACUUACAUUUUUUUUAAAUAUAGAAUUUCCUUAAGUGCCUAGCAUUAUAUACUUGUGGCACAAGUUUCCCAUCCAAGUGUGCUAGCUGUGUUAGAAAACCGGUUAAGAAAACAAUGUUUAUAGUACAACGAAAGUUUAAAUUUUUUUCUUAAAUCGAGUAUUGUGAUAUUUAUAACAAUAAACCCUAAACUGAAUUAGUACAUGUGCUUUGUGUGGGGCAGUCUAGAUCAUUUCCUGGCUCCAUAUCAAAUGAUUUUCUCUAUUAUCUCAAAUCCUGACUUGCUCAGAAUGUGGGCUCUAAGUUCAUGAACCGAUUGUAUAUAAUGAAAACAUUGAUUAAUUUUCAGUAGGAAAAUUAAUUCUCUUCAUGGGAAAUCAAACUUUUGAGCUUUGUAGAAAAUAUAAUUAUUCUGUAAAUAGAUUGUCACUAUUUUCUAACAGAGUAACAUCGCUCAAAAUAUGGAUAACCGGUGUGUGUUUAGUUCAUCCCAUAGUUCCUAUUUAUAGGGAAAAGGUACAAGAAAUUUUCUUGAAAAGGGAUAAUUAAAUAAUAAUAUUUUAAUAUAAAAAUAUAGUUUUCUAGUUAGAAAACUAGGGAAACACACCCUAUUGAACACAAGGGUUUACCGCCCUUCUCAUUUAGGAUGGGCCUCUUGAGCUUGUCUCAUGUAUUUGGUACAAUUAUAUGUGUUAUCUAGACUUUUAACCAACACAUAUAAUUUAACCAACCAAUAACUAUUUUUUUCUAUUUCUCAAAAUAUUAAUUAAUUUAACCAAUUAAAUUAAUUUCUUAACUCAAUUCUAAUUUUGUUAAAGUCACGACAACUUUACCAUAUUAAAAUCUAUGAGGAGAUAUAUUUAAUUGUCUCGUUCAAUAAAACUAUGAUGAUUAAUUAAUUUAAUUUUUAUUUCGAAUUUCAAUUAUUCAAUAUCAAUCAAUUAAAUAAUAAUUUAAAGAAACCAAUUUAAUUUCUAAGUUAUCUUUUGUACUUAGCAAGAAAGCGCAUUCAUUACUGAUGGUGAUACAUGUGGUCUAUUUCUCUUCAUUGUCAUUUUCUUUCAUUUCAAAGUAUCAGUUCCACAUGUAAUUUGAUUUGGGUUAUGUCGAGCUAGCGUAGGGACCGGUUUGGACAUAUAUAUAAUUAAGGCUCAAAUAAUUUGUAAUUAAGUACCAAAUCUUCGUCUAUUAAGUACAAUAUUAUUUAAUCAUGAAGUCAUUCCAGUAAAGUAUCAUGAUUGAACUCUCCAUUAUUAUUACGAAAGCAACUUAAUAAAUGUUUGUCCAAUGACCUUAUCAUAAGUGUGUUACCCUUAUUGAAUAUCAUUUAUCUCUUUGAGUUAAAUUUGUUCACCUAAUAUGAUCCUAUUUUAUCUCAUAGUAACCGAUGCAUCUUCUUUCAUGAAAAAUAAAUUACUAAAAAUUAAUAAUUAAAUCAUUUAUCCUAGAAAAAUGUCCCGCGACCAGAUUACUUUUCCAUCUAUCAAGUAAUGCCAAUGAAAGGUUAUCAUUUAUCCUUUAUUAUGCUAUGAAUUCUAUUAUUGUAAAUGAAACAAUGUCAUACAGAAGUCGUAUACCCAAUUUAGUUAUUUAAACUCAGAUUUUUAAUACAUCAAAGUAUAUGAGUCACGUGUGACCUACUGUCAAAUGGACUAGUUAAUUCGGGUCAAUUUCGCACUUAAGGAACUUGUUUUCUAUACAAUUUAGUAUUUUAAUUUAUGUUUCCUGUAUUUAGGUCUUAGGAUUAAAUAUUAGUAAAAUAAGUGUUUUUAACACAUUUUGUAAAUGUUGUGACCCAAUAGGUCGACAUGGGCCUUAGGUAGUACUAAUAUGUUUAAUUGAGUGUGUAGGAUGGAGAUUUAAAUGCCCAAUUGACAUGGAAGCAAGGGUCAAGUGAUGCACAAGCUUCCUGAGACAUCAAAGCACAAAACGAACACACAAGGCAGAAAUUGUGUGUCGUGUUGCGCCAUAAACAUGGUGUGGCGCGAAAUAGGUCGAUGUGCUACCCAAGUAUAUCGAUGUUAUUUUUGUCAGCACAAGUAACUUUAUACGAAGACCUAAUUUGGGCUGCCAACACUUCUAUAAAUAAGACAUUUGGGGUUUGAUGUAACUAAGUCGUCCUAGACGCCUUCAAAAACCCUAGUAGUUUAGGAGUGGGAGUAGAUUAAUUUUCUUUCAACUUUUCAAUAACUCUUUUGUUUUUCCUCUUGGAAUCAGUUUUGAUCCAAGAAUUCAUUUAUUUAAUUCAAGCAUUUAGGUUUAUUUUCUUUUGCAUUCGAUUUAUUUAUUUAUUCUAAUCAAGUGAUUUGUUAUUCCAUUCCCUGUUCAUUAUUCAGCCCAUAAUUAUUCAAAUCUCUUUUCUUUUUUGAAUCAAUUGUGUUCUUUACAUGAUUAAUUCAAUUGGAGUUAAGAUCAUGAAUAACAUAAAUGGCUAAACCCCUUAGGAGGAGUAAUGAGUGGAUAAGGAUGUGAUUAACAGAGGAUUUAUGGUUUUUCGAGAGGGAUUAGUUGGUAUGAAUUACAUGUGUUUAAACCACUAGGAUUGACAACCCUAGGAAGUUAUCAUAGGCUAGACGAGAUCGGGAGAUAAGCCGAAUCGAGUAAAUCAUAAUUUAUCCUAGUUGAGAAAGUGAGGUCGUGAGAUAAGUGAGUAUCAACCAAUCGAUUAGUUAAUUAGAGGUCGAGAGCUAAUAAUUGGUUAAUCGGUAGCUAAUCCACCUUAAAACCCUAAUUUGAAGUUAAUUACAAACCCUGAAGUGAGUUAAUUUUCCUUAUCAGUUUAUUGAUUUUUAUUGUUUGUUUUUUUUCUUAUUUAUUUUAGUUAUUCAUUUUUAUCUCAUUAAUAUAUUUUAUGGUUUAUUGUAGCAUAGGAAUUAAUUAGUACUGUUUAGGCUUAUUAUUGUAAAAAGGUUUUCAUAAUUUAUUCCAUCCUCCCUUGGGUACGAUCCUCGAAACACUUCCAAAGUAUUUCGUUGUACUGAAUAAUAUUACAAUUUGAUCUGUGCUCUUGCGGACACUUCCGUUCUAAUCUUUUAUAUUUUUGGUGUUAUAUUUUACUAUAAACGGCUCGUUUAUAGGCUGUCAACGUGCUCAUAGUCAAUCACUUGCUUAGUAUUGAGGUAAGUCACACUAUGAAUACCACAAGUAAAUUAAUCCAUAAACAGAUUUAGGAUUGGUUUAACUUGGGUCCUGUUUGAUGUAUUGUCAAUCCAGAGAAUCACAUCUACGUCUUUAUAUUCUGGGAGUUCAUUGCUUCGAUACCAAAGACAAUGUAUCCCAUUAUUAAACUUGAUAGACGACAUAAUAAUCCUUUAACUGAUUUGCUCAACUUUGAUUCAUCAGACUAUGAACCUUUUAGAUUGCCUACUGAUACAAGUUGUCUUCUCACAUUAUGAUCCGACCACGAAAUACAACUUAGUAUUAUUUAAACAUUGGGUAAUCAAUGAGUCAAUAUUUGCUUACAUUUUUCUUUGUGUGCAAAAAACAUUGAGGACAAAUACAAAUUAUAUUAAUGUGAAUAACAUAAUUUUAUUAAAGCAAGGAACCGAUCCUUGGUCCCUCGUGCACUUAGGCUUAUAUAGGGGGUCCCUUAUAUCCUGUAGUGCCAUGUAGCCAACAUCAUAGGGGGUAUACAUGAUUGUGCGGGCGACCAAGUUUUAGUGCCAUUAUAGGUCAAUUGUUUUCAUGGGGUGUAUUGUAUAGUCCUACUCUGACAUUCUCAUCCUUGAAGAUCGUACAAGGCGAUUACGUUUGAGUGGUCCCCACGAGAGGUGCACGACAUGCUAUCUGUAGGGUGGUUCCUUUAAGGUUUGCGGAAGGUCACCCAUGGACCAUUCCUUGUGGAUGGUUUUCCAUAAACUGUUUGAUUGCUUGCUACAUGUCGUACCCUAGGGAAGAUAUAACAAAUAGAUAAUAAUACUUUUACUAAAUAAUUUUGAUACAAAAUAUAUUAUAUUAUAUUAUAUUAUAUUAUGUUUAUUUUUUGAAUUUUUAGCAUAAAUGAACUUCACGUUUAAAAGAAUUCAAAACAUAUAUUUAUUAAUUUAAAUAAUAAUAUUAAAAUAAUUAUAAAAAUAAAAUCAAUUAAACUAUUGAAUUAAGAGGAAAUCAAGUAUAUAUUCAAUAAUAAUUAUAAGAUAAAUAUAGGAUAAUAAUAAAAACAUAAUCAUUCAAACUAGUAUGGUUCUUAGUCUAUGCUUCGCGUUUGGUUGAUUAUUUGUUUGUGUCAAAUUAUAAAGUAAAAAUUUGAAGGUUAAAAUAUGUUUUAAAUCCCUAUGCAAUUUGUAAAUUCAAAAAUUAGUCCCCUACUUUUUGUUUUCAGGAAUAUAGUCUCUACUUUUCGAAUUUAAAAAUUCAAGUGCAGUUGUUAUCAACGUUAAAAAUAUUCUAUUAAAUUCUUUGGUGUGAAAUUUUAUUUUAUUUUUUAAAAUAAUCACUUAAUAGUCAUAUAACAAAAAAAUCGUUAAAAAUACUUAUUAUAAAUUUUUUUUUAAAAGCACUCAUUUGAAAUCGUCAUGAAAAAAUAAUUUUUCCCGUAGGAAUAGUGUUCUUGAGAAAAUCUGACAUCUACAUUUUAAUUGAAAUAGUUAACAAUAUUAACUAUUCAAACUAACUAAUGACAUUAUAAAAGUAGAUGGACAAAAUUAUGUAAAAAAUUAAAGUAUAAAGAUUAAAUCUUAAGUUUUAGUAUAGUCUAGAGGCCAAAAUUGAAAUUUAAUCCUUGUCUUAUAAUGUAAAAAAGAAAGUGACGCAAACUUAAAAGGAAUGAGAAUCUAAAAUUCUUGAGGUAUUCAAACUAUAUUUAACCACAUAAUAUUUUAAUAACAUUAUACAAGUAUAUAGGUCAAAUUAUGUUAAAAAUUAAAAUAUAAAGAUUAAAUUUUAAAAUUAAAUACAUUAAAGGGACCAAAUUUAAUAUUUAAUUAUUUUUGUAUAAAACGAAAAAAGAAGAAAAAGAAAUGGUGGGCUUGCCACCAUUCAAAAGAUACAACCUAACAUUUGGCAUUCCAUUCAAAAGAUUGCUUUUAUAGCAAUUUUAAUGUUGUUGUUGUUUUUUUUUUUUUUUUGUAUAAUUUUUGUCAAACUUGCCUUGCCAUGACAAAUAUCAUGUUUUAUUUAAAAAAAAAAACAUUUUUCCCUUCUUCUUUUUCCUGUCGCUAUGUUUAGUUAAAAACAUUUUUCUUUUUCUUGUCACUUAAAUAAAAAAAGUUGAAUAACUUAAUUUAAUAUGGGCGUACUGCAAGAGAAUAUGAUUGAGAGUUUGAGAACCACGAUGGAAAGAAAACUUGAUGUCUUUAGAAUGAUGAUGACUGGGUAAAAAUUUGAGUUAUAAAAUGGUUGGGUUUGUGCUUAUAGUUUAAUAUAUAUAUAUAAAAUUAAGUUUUCUAUGCGAUUGCGAUGUACAGAUUGAUUAUAUAUUUUGUACAAGCCCAAUUUCAACCCUUCCCAAACCCAUUACAAAACAACCCACCAGCUCAAUCCCACUACCCAAAAUUUUAGACCCAAAUUGCCCAAUACCCAAACCCAACUAAAUUAACCUAAACCCUAGCCCAUUUUCAGAAAAGAAAAAACAGCAGCCCCCUAACCCUAGGUGCGCCGCACCUAGGGUCAUCCACUUGCCCUAGUCGCCGGCGCCGCACGUCACGUCUCUGCCAUCACCGACUCCACCCACUUGCCUGCAAAAUCAGAGAAAGAAAUGACAAGUAAAAAAAUAAUAGAUCAAAAAAUUGUAAACAUGGCUAUAAAGCCAUAACAACCAUCGUAAAAAGGGGAACCGAUUUGUUUUUUGUAAAAAAAGGGAGGGGCUUCUUCUUUUUUUUUCUUCUUCUGUAAUAGUUUUCACAGAAAUAAAAGCAAAAAAAAUCAAAGGUGAUUUCCGGGUUUCUCUGAUUUCAAUCUUUCUCUUUUUUUAUUUUUAUCAUAGUUUUUUUAUUUUUUUUUCAUUUUUAUUGCUUAAACGAAAAUAAAAAAAAGAACAAAGAAACUCACAGGGGAGGGACUUUAAAAACCCAUUCGUGAGCCUCGCCGACCGUCGAAAUACGGUGGUGGUGUGGCGGGCGGUUGGCCGGCGCGACAUGGGGCCUUAAAUCCUCAAGUGUCAGUUUUUUUUUAGAGAGAAAAAAGGGCUUUUGGAAUUUUUUAAAAAAAAUUGCGGCUGAAAUGUUUUUGUGAAGCAAAAAAUGGGUUUAAAUACCCUGUAAAACGACGUCGUUUUUGAAUUUAGGGUUCAGAGACCAAAACGGCGUCGUUUUGGUCUCUGACCCGCGCGGUGACCCG
rnacentral:lncRNA from 1 species